rnacentral:tRNA from 1 species
GGGCCUGUAGCUCAGCUGGGAGAGCGCGUGCUUUGCAAGCAUGAGGCCAGCGGUUCGACCCCGCUCAGGUCCACCA